rnacentral:rRNA from 1 species
UUAAGUGACGAUAGCCUAGGAGAUACACCUGUUCCCAUGCCGAACACAGAAGUUAAGCCCUAGUACGCCUGAUGUAGUUGGGGGUUGCCCCCUGUUAGAUACGGUAGUCCUUUAUC